rnacentral:rRNA from 1 species
CUACGGGGGGCUGCAGUGAGGAAUAUUGCACAAUGGGGGGAUCCCUGAUGCAGCAACGCCGCGUGGAGGAUGACGCAUUUCGGUGUGUAAACUCCUUUUAUAUGUCAAGAAAAUGACGGUAGCAUAUGAAUAAGCACCGGCUAACUCCGUGCCAGCAGCCGCGGUAAUACGGAGGGUGCAAGCGUUACUCGGAAUCACUGGGCGUAAAGGACGCGUAGGCGGGUUGGAAAGUCAGGUGUGAAAUCCUACAGCUUAACUGUAGAACUGCACUUGAAACUUCUAAUCUAGAGUAUGGGAGGGGGAGAUGGAAUUAGUGGUGUAGGGGUAAAAUCCGUAGAUAUCACUAGGAAUACCUAAAGCGAAGGCGAUCUCCUGGAACAUUACUGACGCUAAGGCGUGAAAGCGUGGGGAGCAAACAGGAUUAGAUACCCUGUAGUC